rnacentral:rRNA from 1 species
AGCGAACACUGGCGGCGUGCUUAACACAUGCAAGUCGAGCGAAGGUGUUUCAAGGGUAACCUUGAGAUACACUUAGCGGCGGACGGGUGAGUAAUACGUGGAUAACUUACCUCUAGGCCUGGGAUAACCCCGGGAAACUGGGGCUAAUACCUGAUAAGACCACAUUGUCUACGGACAAAGGGGUAAAAGGUGGCUGUGCAAACAGCUAUCGCCAAAAGAUAGGUUCACGUCCCAUCAGGCAGUUGGUGAGGUAAUGGCUCACCAAACCAAAGACGGGUAGCCGGCCUUGGCGGGUGAACGGCCACACGGGGACUGAGACACGGCCCCGACUCCUACGGGAGGCAGCAGUGGGGAAUAAUUGGGCAAUGGGCGCAAGCCUGACCCAGCGACGUCGCGUU